AAAGAAGGAAGCCACAAAGCAAUAUGGUUUCGACCCAUAACUUAGAACUAAAUGUUCCCAUCUUUCCUAC
rnacentral:tRNA from 1 species